CCGAGUUAUACAACUCAUCAACCCUGUGAACAUACCUAAAACGUUGCUUCGGCGGGAACAGACGGCCCUGUAACAACGGGCCGCCCCCGCCAGAGGACCCCUAACUCUGUUUUUAUAAUGUUUUUCUGAGUAAACAAGCAAAUAAAUUAAAACUUUCAACAACGGAUCUCUUGGCUCUGGCAUCGAUGAAGAACGCAGCGAAAUGCGAUAAGUAAUGUGAAUUGCAGAAUUCAGUGAAUCAUCGAAUCUUUGAACGCACAUUGCGCCCGCCAGUAUUCUGGCGGGCAUGCCUGUUCGAGCGUCAUUACAACCCUCAGCCCCCCGGGCCUGGCGUUGGGGAUCGGCGGAAGCCCCCUGUGGGCACACGCCGUCCCUCAAAUACAGUGGCGGUCCCGCCGCAGCUUCCAUUGCGUAGUAGCUAACACCUCGCAACUGGAGAGCGGCGCGGCCAUGCCGUAAAACACCCAACUUCUGAAU
rnacentral:misc_RNA from 1 species